UGCAAAAGCAAACAAGCAAAAAACAGUGGUUCCAUUGUUAACUAUAUUUGGGAAAUGCUGAACUAAACAGGGUAAAACAGGUGUAUCUACUUCAGGACCUCUCAGAGUUGUUGACACGGUGCCACAAAUUGUGGCUCUCCAAAAGGGGACAUUAUAUUCAGUGUUCCCCAAACAUAUUUGACCACAGAAUACAAAAUGGAAUAUGGUGAGACUGAUGUGCAGAAUCCACUUUGGGAAAGGCUGCUCAGGCCCUUCAUUUUACAGCUAAAUAAACUGAGGACCUGUGAAAUGAAGGAAUGUGUCCAAGCUUGCUCCAUUAGCCAGGAUUCCUCGGGAAACAAAUGGAAGCAUCAAGAGAGUUUGAAAUUUAAAAAAAAUGAUUAAUGUAGGCAGGAUUAGGGAAGCCAACAAGAUAUAGUGAGACACCCAGGUGGUGGCUCUUGCCACCCCAACCCUAAAGGGGAAAGAGAAGGAAGCUUGUUACUGGAGCUCAGCUGAGAGCUGGAGAAACGGAGGGGCUGCCUGUCAGAACUGUCAUGGGGUAGGGAAGAGGGGGAUAAAUACAUGACCUCAGCCUGUCUCUCCUCCUGUCCUCUCCUUUCCCACUGGUGCUGCCCAUUGGCCAAAUCCAUCUGGAAGCCAGAGGGCGGAAGCCUGGUGAUGCAGUUUGUAGAGGUCAGCCUCCCAGGCACAGAGCUGAGCAGAGAAGGGUGAGCACAUAUCUGUGGGGCAGGUGGGGAAUAAACAGCACAAUUACAUAGCUAGUAUUUUGCCUUUUUCAUUUUUUAAAAAAAGUUUACCUCAUAUUUUAUAAACUUAUGUAAGUUGGCUUAAUAAAAUUUAAUGCAAUAUAAAACAAAAAAUGCUAAAAACAUAAAGCAAUGGUUUUCAAGAUGUGGUCUCAAAGUGUGAUUUCCAGGGGUUCCCAAGACCCUUCAGAUCUGCAAGGUCAAUUUGUAAUAAUACUAUGAUGUUACCUCGUGUUUUCCUUUCACUCUUUCACAAGCAACCCGUGGGUUUUCCCAUGCUGAGUGAUGAUGUUAUUGACUGCUAACGGAAUGUGUGCCUGUGCAUUCUCAUGAUUUAAAAUUCAUCCCAUUUUAAUUUCUAAUGUAGUAGAUGAUAAACAUUACUCAAAUAAACACAGUUUCUUUGGGUCCUCAAUUAUUUUUGAUGUAAAGAAACCCUGAGACCAAAAUGUGAAAGAACCACUGAUGUAAAGGUAGCCAAAGGACAGAUGUGUCCAGGUGAGAGGUGAAGCCAGCUGGACUUCCUGGGUCGAAUGGGGACUUGGAGAACUUUUCUAUCUAGAGGAUUGUAAAUGCACCAAUCAGCACUCUGUAAAAAUGCACCAAUCAGUGCUCUGUAUCUAGCUAAAAGAUUGUAAAUACACCAAUCAGUGCUCUCUAUCUAGCUAAAGGAUUGUAAAUACACCAAUCAGCACUCUGUAAAAACGCACCAAUCAGCACUCCAUGUCUAGCUAAAGGAUUGUAAAUGCACCAGUCAGCACUUUGUAAAAUGGACCAAUCAGCACUCUGCAAAAUGGACCAAUCGGCACCCUGUAAAAUGGACCAAUCAGCAGGACAUGGGCGGGGCCAAAUAAGGG
rnacentral:lncRNA from 1 species